UAAAAGUGUCUCCUGAGCUCUUUCUAUAUGAAUAGCACACAGAUGAGGUCCUUGUGCUUUGUUUGCACAGAAUUGAUAUCAAGAGAUUUCGGAAGCACAAUUUUUAAUAUUUGGAGCUGCUGGUGAUAGCUUGUCAUGUGCAAUUGUUCUG